rnacentral:lncRNA from 1 species
ACUUCUCAGCAUCGCCGUCUCUGAGGGCAGGAGUGAUCUGGAGCCCUCCCCAAGCCCACAGGUAGUCGGGCGGCAUGUGCGGGCCUGGGGGGCCCCACUGGGGUCUUCUCUCCUCUUCCCCGGCCCCUCCCCGAGGCCAGGACAAGUCCUGCCUGCCCUGAACGGGGGCGGCUGAGCCCAGGUUGGGGUGGUGGUGAGACAGGGAGACUGGGGAGCUGGGCACCCUGAUGGGGGUUCUGGGCCUGCCACUCAUCAGCCUGGAGGUCCGGGGCUUUUCCCCAACCCCCUGUGCACGGAAAGGUUUAGGGGCCAUGCCCCAGGUGGCCACAGCGACGGGAAGCUCCCUGGCUGCCUCAAAGGGCUGUUCUGUGGGGGGACCUGGUCCAGGAUGAUGGAGGGGAGGCAGCAACUGGACUUUUCCCCUUGCAGCUGUAAGGAUAGCUUGAUUUUUCUAAGGACAACAACCCUGUGUCUCCCCACUGAGUUACAAGCCCGCAGGUGGCUUGAUGAACAUGUGGUUUCUGGAUGUGACAUGAAAGUUAGCAUUUGCGCGCUCUUUGGUUUCCCUGGGUUUGUUUUUCUUGCUCUUACAGUCCUGAACUAUUCCCAAUCGUGUUUAUGUUGAGGCAGAAGACAUGGCUGUGGAGUGUCGGUGCACCAGGGUCUGCCGGGUCCCCGCCUCCCCAUCCUUCCAAGAGGCAC